UUGAUUACCAUAAAUGGUUAUUUGAUUGUUAAAAGCUUUUCCGAAAAAUGUAUAUAAUUAUGGAAGGCUCCCCCCUUUUAAGGACAGUGGGAGGAGAAGGAGAAGGAGAAAGGGACAAUAGUGGGAGGGAAUCCUGAAGUGGGUGAGUGUCACCAACUCUAUUGAACCGAAAGGAAAAGUUAAAAGAAAAAUUUAAAAUGAAAGGGUUCCUUUGAUAACCUCUCACCAUCAAUGGUAGUUAGUCAAAGAUGGCAAUAAGGUUAUAUCAUAUCAUAGACCCUAUAAACUAAAGCAUUAGAAUUAGAAUUAAAAUUUGAUGAUUGGGUCCUUUCUUCUUGUAUAAUAAUUGCAAACCCCUUUUACUUGUUUCUUAGUAUUAGUAACAAACAAGUACUACUAAUUAGUUGACCCGCGUUAACGAGUCCAUUCCCUUUUGUAUAAUAACUCUAGUUAGUUUCUCACGCGUUCUCAAGCACUUAACACAAAUGGACCCAUAGAUAUAUGCUAUAUAGUUGAAAGGAUUGAAGUGAUGGAAUUUUAUUUACGUAUCUUCUUAGUAAGCCAUGAAAUGUGUAGUGUAAAAUAUUGUAGAUCAUAUUAUGUAUAGAUGACGUGUUUGCACAUAGUUAUCUUCAUCUUUUUCUUGCUACAAAUAUCUUCAUCUUUAAUCAUAUCUAUGCUCCCC
rnacentral:lncRNA from 1 species